AUGCGUAGAUAUCAGGAAGAACACCGACGGCGAAGGCAGCUUUCUGGCCUGGCAACUGACCCUGAUGAACGAAAGCUAGGGUACCGAACAGGAUUAGAUACCCUGGUAGUCCUAGCUGUAAACGUUGUGCACUGGAUGUGGCCGGAUUUGGUCCCGUCUGUGUCUGAGCGAAGGCGUUAAGUGCACCGCCUGGGGACUACGGCCGCAAGGCUAAAACUCAAAGGAAUUGACGGGGGCCCGCACAAGCGGUGGAGCAUGUGGCUCAAUUCGAGGCAACGCGAAGAACCUUACCUGGGUUUGACAUAUACCUGACCGCCGGUGAGAGCCGGUUUCUCUUUGAGCAGGUAUACAGGUGCUGCAUGGCUGUCGACAGCUCGUGCUGUGAAGUGUUCGGUUAAGUCCGGCAACGAGCGCAACCCACGCUGUUAGUUACCAUCAGGUAAUGCUGGGGACUCUAACAGGACUGCCCGUGCUAAGCGGGAGGAAGGCGUGGACGACGUCAAGUCCGCAUGGCCCUUACGCCCAGGGCUGCACACGUGCUACAAUGGCCGGUACAGAGGGUCGCCACUCUGCGAAGAGGAGCUAAUCCCGAAAACCGGCCUCAGUUCGGAUUGGAGUCUGCAACCCGACUCCAUGAAGUAGGAAUCGCUAGUAAAGGCGUAUCAGCAACGGCGCCUUGAAUCUGUUCCCGGGCCUUGUACACACCGCCCGUCACAUCAUGGAAGCCGGCUGCACCCGAA
rnacentral:rRNA from 1 species